rnacentral:rRNA from 1 species
UUUGGCCCAGAUCGUUUACCGUGAAAAAAUUAGAGUGUUCAAAGCAGGCAGAUCCAAUUUUCUGCCACCGAAUACAUUAGCAUGGGAUAAUGGAAUAGGACCCUGUCCUCCUAUUUUCAGUUGGUUUUGGCAGCGCGAGGACUAGGGUAAUGAUUAAUAGGGAUAGUUGGGGGCAUUAAUAUUUAAUUGUCAGAGGUGAAAUUCUUGGAUUUAUGAAAGAUUAACUUCUGCGAAAGCAUCUGCCAAGGAUGUUUUCAUUAAUCAAGAACGAAAGUUAGGGGAUCGAAGACGAUCAGAUACCGUCGUAGUCUUAACCAUAAACGAUGCCGACCAGCGAUUAGGAGACGUUGAAUACAAAACACCACCAUCGGUGCGGUCGUCCUUGGCGUCUCGGUCCUUCACGGGGCCGGGGCGCGGGGGCGGCUUAGCCCGGUGGCACCGGUGAAUGACUCCCCUAGCAGCUUGUGAGAA